UAAGAAAAGGAUUAGAGCAAACCUUUUACCUGAGCUUUUACGUCAUGACCAUAGUUAGAACAGCGGUUUACUGGUUUUAUAUCGUUAAAAUUCGUCAUGUACAGGAGGUAUUCAGUAACUUUUUAUGUAAUUUUCGCACAGCUGUUAUCAAUUCUCUCGUGUGGAUCUCAGGAUCCCUUCUGUUGUAUUUAUCAAAUGUAAAAAUCUACACCAUCAUACUUCCAUUGUUCGGACUGGAAGUACUAAUAUUGUCUUAUCUUACUGAUCAUUUACUUAUUGUAUGCUUGAUGGCUUGGCUGGAAACU